UUUACUGACAGGGGCUUAGUCCAAAGAAGAACUUUUAAUGUGGAAAGAAAAAGUCAACCCAAACUGCUAAUCAAUGCAUACAGACUCGGGAAAAUCAGUUCGAAUGACCAGAGGGUUCCACUCCUGCCUGGAAGAAAAAAAAGAGAGUAAUUUGCUUUACAAGCACAUGCCCAAGUUAAUACAAAAUCCUUGUUUGGGGUUUGCCAGCUGAUUUAAUCCUGGAUGAGCCAAUGAAAGCCAACACACACUUCAGGGGUGCUUAAGUUAUUCCUUCAAAGUUUCUUGUGGAGUCUGUUUUGCAGAGACAACGCCGGUUGAGAGGCUUCAGUUGGAUUACACGACUGGUGUUGGCAACGGGCAUCAGUGGGCAGCUGCUGAGGACCUAAUGCUCCAGGAAAGGCCCACCACUGAUGUUCUUCCUGGUCUCAGGGCCCUGUUGAGCUCUACACCAUUGUUCUUCAAUCUUGCAUUCUCUGAGGUUGAUUGACUUCAACUCCUAUCAUUCCCAACAAACUUAGUCAAUGGUUAGGCAUCAUGGGCAUUGUAGUCUAGAACUAUCUGGGCACUCAAAGUUUAACAAUUCUUCUGUAGGCCAAGGCUUGGAAUCAUGCUGUAAAUGGUGCCCAAAGCUCCAGAAUGACCCUGUGUCAGGAGUAUUUUGGAGCAUUGUAGAAAAAUUAAUUUAGGUCCUGAAGACAUGCAGCACUCAUGGGUCAAAUUCUGCUGAUGCUUGCCACCAGGGUUCAGAGGAGGGGCUUCACCCGCUAAGGAGGGCACUACUAGAAUGGCCCCAUAGCGUUGUCUCUAUAUUAAUGCACAGAGUAUGUGAAACAAGCAAGACGAACUUGAGCUCUUAAUACAGGAUUGCAAAUAUGACCUAAUAGGCAUUACUGAAACCCGGUGGGAUGAGACUCAUGACUGGAAUGGAGAAAUAGAGGGCUUCAACUUAUUCAAAAGAAGAUACCAAACGGGAAGGGAUGUGGAGUAGCAUUAUAUGUAAAGGAUGGGUACACUUGUGAAGAGAUCCAUGACUUGGAGCAUGGAAAGCAGAUUGAGAGUAUAUGGGCAAAAAUUGUAGGGGAGGGAAACAACAGUGACCUUACCGUGGAUGUCUGCUAUAGACCACCAAGCCAGACUGAAGACUUGCCUAAUGCCUUCCUAGAGCAGAUUACCAAACAUUCACAAAGGGGAGAUAUAGUAAUCAUGGGAGACUUCAACUUCCCUGAUACCUGUUGGAACUCAAACUAUGCCAAGAAUGUAAGGUCUGACAAAUUCAUCUGUUGCCUGGCUGACAAUUUCAUUUCCCAGAAGGUGAAAGAACCAACAAGGGGAUCAUCUAUCUUGGACCUGGUCCUCAUCAACAGGGAGGAACUGAUUGACCAAGUGGAAGUACUGGAAGUUUGGGAGGAAGUGAUCAGAUCCUCUUGGGUUUCAUGAUCCAGAGGCAAGGGAAAGCUUGAGGAGCUACUGGGUGAUAUUCCAUGGUCAGAAAUACUCAAGGAGACGGAAGUCCAAGAUGGAUGACACCAACAUUAACAUAUUUGUGGUGCUUGGUUAAGACAUAACUCUUCCUUUGAAGAAACUAUAAUAAUCAUGUUUAUUGUUCCUGUGGAGGUUUUCUUUUUUUAGUGGGCUCUUGUAGUUUCAUUGUUAAACUGGAUGCUUUUUGUUUUGUUUUCUUCCCAAUGUGGCCUAGAGAUAUUUUGUAUUAGGUGACAAAUGAAAUGAAUAAAUAAUAAUAAUGACUGUU